rnacentral:tRNA from 1 species
GAUAAAAUGGCUGAGUCUUAGGCGUUAGAUUGUAAAUCUAAUAACGAAUAUAAAUAUUCUUUUAUUA